UAAGCCUUGGUGACUGAGCGGCGGACGGGUGAGUAACACGUAUCCAACCUGCCCUUUACUCGGGGAUAGCCUUUCGAAAGAAAGAUUAAUACCCGAUAGCAUAAUGAUUCCGCAUGGUUUCAUUAUUAAAGGAUUCCGGUAAAGGAUGGGGAUGCGUUCCAUUAGGUUGUUGGUGAGGUAACGGCCCACCAAGCCUUCGAUGGAUAGGGGUUCUGAGAGGAAGGUCCCCCACAUUGGAACUGAGACACGGUCCAA
rnacentral:rRNA from 1 species